rnacentral:rRNA from 1 species
AGUGAACGCUGGCGGUAGGCCUAACACAUGCGAGUCGAACGGCAGCACAGUAAGAGCUUGCUCUUACGGGUGGCGAGUGGCGGACGGGUGAGGAAUACAUCGGAAUCUACUUUUUCGUGGGGGAUAACGUAGGGAAACUUACGCUAAUACCGCAUACGACCUACGGGUGAAAGCAGGGGAUCUUCGGACCUUGCGCGAUUGAAUGAGCCGAUGUCGGAUUAGAUAGUUGGCGGGGUAAAGGCCCACCAAGGCGACGAUCCGUAGCUGGUCUGAGAGGAUGAUCAGCCACACUGGAACUGAGACACGGUCCAGACUCCUACGGGAGGCAGCAGUGGGGAAUAUUGGACAAUGGGCGCAAGCCUGAUCCAGCCAUACCGCGUGGGUGAAGAAGGCCUUCGGGUUGUAAAGCCCUUUUGUUGGGAAAGAAAAGCAGCAGGUUAAUACCCCGCUGUUCUGACGGUACCCAAAGAAUAAGCACCGGCUAACUUCGUG